rnacentral:rRNA from 1 species
CCACGAGCGGGCGAGUGCUACACAUGCAGUCGAACGGGAUCCAUCAAGCUUGCUUGGUGGCGAGAGUGGCGAACGGUUGAGUAAUGCGUGACCGACCUGCCCCAUGCACCGGAAUAGCUCCUGGAAACGGGUGGUAAUGCCGGAUGCUCCAGUUGAUCGCAUGGACUUCUGGGAAAGCCUUUGCGGAAUGGGAUGGGGUCGCGUCCUAUCAGCUUGAUGGCGGGGUAACGGCCCACCAUGGCUUCGACGGGUAGCCGGCCUGAGAGGGCGACCGGCCACAUUGGGACUGAGAUACGGCCCAGACUCCUACGGGAGGCAGCAGUGGGGAAUAUUGCACAAUGGGCGCAAGCCUGAUGCAGCGACGCCGCGUGAGGGAUGGAGGCCUUCGGGUUGUAAACCUCUUUUGUUAGGGAGCAAGGCAUUUUGUGUUGAGUGUACCUUUCGAAUAAGCACCGGCUAACUACGUGCCAGCAGCCGCGGUAAUACGUAGGGUGCAAGCGUUAUCCGGAAUUAUUGGGCGUAAAGGGCUCGUAGGCGGUUCGUCGCGUCCGGUGUGAAAGUCCAUCGCUUAACGGUGGAUCCGCGCCGGGUACGGGCGGGCUUGAGUGCGGUAGGGGAGACUGGAAUUCCCGGUGUAACGGUGGAAUGUGUAGAUAUCGGGAAGAACACCAAUGGCGAAGGCAGGUCUCUGGGCCGUUACUGACGCUGAGGAGCGAAAGCGUGGGGAGCGAACAGGAUUAGAUACCCUGGUAGUCCACGCCUAAACGGUGGAUGCUGGAUGUGGGGCCGUUCCCGGGUUCCGUGUCGGAGCUAACGGUUAAGAUCCCGCCUGGGAGACGGCCGCAGGUA